GGGGAAGUCGAUGGACAACGGGUUAAUAUUCCCGUACUUGCUUAAACAGUGAUGGAGAGACGGAGUAGUGAAAGUACCGCGUACUGACGGAAUAGUACGUUGAAAACCGUAGGUAUUGGAGAGGCAGGUAAAUCCACCUUUCUAGCUGAAAGUUGAUAGUACCAAGAGCCUUCGGGCAAUUGGAUAGUGUACCUAAUCAGACUUCCAAGAAAAACUUCUAAACUUAUGUUUAAGCAACCUGUACCGCAAACCGACACAGGUAGUCGAGGAGAGUAUCCUAAGGUGGACGAGUGAUUCAUGGCUAAGGAACUAGGCAAAAUA
rnacentral:rRNA from 12 species